rnacentral:rRNA from 1 species
CAAUAGCGUAUAUUAAAGUUGUUGCAGUUAAAAAGCUCGUAGUUGAACUUCAGACCUGGCCGGGCGGUCUGCCUAACGGUAUGUACUGUCUGGCUGGGUCUUACCUCUUGGUGAGCCGGCAUGCCCUUCACUGGGUGUGUCGGGGAACCAGGACUUUUACCUUGAGAAAAUUAGAGUGUUCAAAGCAGGCCUAUGCCCGAAUACAUUAGCAUGGAAUAAUAAAAUAGGACGUGCGGUUCUAUUUUGUUGGUUUCUAGAGUCGCCGUAAUGAUUAAUAGGGAUAGUUGGGGGCAUUAGUAUUCAGUUGCUAGAGGUGAAAUUCUUGGAUUUACUGAAGACUAACUACUGCGAANGNAUUUGCNAAGGAUGUUUNCAUUA